rnacentral:rRNA from 1 species
GUGGGGAAUAUUGGACAAUGGGGGCAACCCUGAUCCAGCCAUGCCGCGUGUGUGAAGAAGGCCUUUUGGUUGUAAAGCACUUUAAGCAGUGAAGAAGACCUAACGGUUAAUACCAGUUAGCGAUGACAGUAGCUGCAGAAUAAGCUCCGGCUAACCCUGUGCGAGCAGCCGCGGUAAUACAGAGGGUGCAAGCGUUAAUCGGAAUUACUGGGCGUAAAGCGAGCGUAGGUGGCUUGAUAAGUCAGAUGUGAAAUCCCCGGGCUUAACCUGGGAACUGCAUCUGAUACUGUUGGGCUAGAGUAGGUGAGAGGGAGGUAGAAUUUCAGGUGUAGCGGUGAAAUGCGUAGAGAUCUGAAGGAAUACCGAUGGCGAAGGCAGCCUCCUGGCAUCAUACUGACACUGAGGUUCGAAAGCGUGGGUAGCAAACAGG